AACGAACGCUGGCGGCAGGCUUAACACAUGCAAGUCGAACGGUUGUAGCAAUACAGCAGUGGCGCACGGGUGAGUAACACGUGGGAAUAUCCCUUUCAGUACGGAAUAACGUCGGGAAACUGACGCUAAUACCGUAUACACCUCCGGGUGAAAGAUUUAUCGCUGAAAGAUUAGCCCGCGUCAGAUUAGCUAGUUGGUGGGGUAACGGCCUACCAAGGCUCCGAUCUGUAGCUGGUCUUAGAGGACGAUCAGCCACACUGGAACUGAGACACGGUCCAGACUCCUACGGGAGGCAGCAGUGGGGAAUAUUGGACAAUGGGGGAAACCCUGAUCCAGCCAUGCCGCGCGAGUGAUGAAGGCCUUCGGGUUGUAAAGCUCUUUUGUCAGGGAAGAUGAUGACUGUACCUGAAGAAUAAGCCCCGGCUAACUUCGUGCCAGCCGCCGCCGUAAGAC
rnacentral:rRNA from 1 species